rnacentral:rRNA from 1 species
AUACGGAGGAUGCGAGCGUUAUCCGGAUUUAUUGGGUUUAAAGGGAGCGUAGGCGGGAGCUUAAGUCAGCGGUUAAAUGGUGCGGCUCAACCGUGCCCUGCCGUUGAAACUGGGUUUCUUGAGAGUGCAAGAGGCGGAUGGAAUUCAUGGGGUAGCGGGGAAAUGCUUAGAUAUCAUGAAGAACUCCGAUUGCGAAGGCAGUCCGCUGGGGCACGUCUGACGCUGAUGCUCGAAGGUGCGGGAAUCAAACAGGAUUAGAUACCCUGGUAGUCCGCACGGUAAACGAUGAUUACCCGCUGUCGGCGGUAGACAGUCGGCGGCCAAGCGAAAGCGAUAAGUAAUCCACCUGGGGAGUACGCCGGCGACGGUGAAACUCAAAGGAAUCGACGGGG